rnacentral:rRNA from 1 species
GUAGGUGGCAAGCGUUGUCCGGAAUUAUUGGGCGUAAAGCGCGCGCAGGCGGUCCUUUAAGUCUGAUGUGAAAGCCCACGGCUCAACCGUGGAGGGUCAUUGGAAGCUGGGGGACUUGAGUACAGAAGAGGAAAGCGGAAUUCCAAGUGUAGCGGUGAAAUGCGUAGAGAUUUGGAGGAACACCAGUGGCGAAGGCGGCUUUCUGGUCUGUAACUGACGCUGAGGCGCGAAAGCGUGGGGAGCAAACAGGGAUUAGAUACCCUGGUAGUCCACGCCGUAAACGAUGAGUGCUAAGUGUUAGGGGGUUUCCGCCCCCUUAGUGCUGCAGCUAACGCAUUAAGCACUCCGCCUGGGGAGUACGGCCGCAAGGCUG